UUCUUUUCCAUUUCUCUUGUGCUUCACACACACAUCAUUCUCACUCCCACAAAUUCCAUCAAAACCAUGUUCAUUUUCCAUCCAUUUCAUUAUCGUCAUACCAAUCAUCCACCAUCUUCCAUAAACAUUCGAACCAAGAUCAUCCCUUAAAUACUAUACUCAACCGUAUCAUUCAAUCCUAUAAAAUUUCCCAACCGUGAUCAUCCAACCCUACACAUAUACCUUUAUCCAAACAACCACAUAUCUUUACCCUACACACAACAAGCCAAGCCAUUUCCCAUCAAAUCCAUCAACCUUAAGUUAUAUCUUCAAUCCGCAACCAAACUCUACAAAUCCCUAAAUCAACACCCUAAACCGAGAUCAUAAGCCUUACAUCCCUAAACAUACACAAACCUAGCCUAAAUACUACUCACAAAUCGAACCAAAUAUUCAUCAAAACCUUAACCCAACACCUAAGCCGAAACAUAAAUUACCAGACUUAUACUUAUAAUUUUAAGCUAAAAACAAUCCUAAAAUGAAGGCAACUCUAAGAGGCAUUAGUUUUUUUUGGUUUCUCACAGGUAUCCUUGCACCGGAGGCAAUCCUAUCCGAGCUGGGAACAUCCACAGGUACGUGAGGCUAACUCUCCCAACGGGUAUUUUUUCCAUCCACAAGACUCAAACCCGGGUUCUUGCUUAAUGAAACUCAAGCAUGUACCACUUGAACCAACGCCCGUUGUUACAAUAGUUAAAUAACCAGCCCUCUUAUUGUUUCUGUUACAAUAGUUUGGAAAAAUAUUUAAAAUAAAAGAUAUUAAGUGAUAGGAGUAAUGAUUAUUAAGAAAGUCGAAAUUGAAAAAUACUUCCUGAUCUCAAAUUCAUUUAGAAUUGAUUAGUAACAUGCAAGUGUUAAGUUCUACCGAGUUGCUCCUUCAACUUGUAUUGUUGGCAAAUGAUUGAUUAAAAGUAUAUGAGCAAGCCAUCAAGAUGUUUUUUCAAGGAAGAUAAUUAUGUAAUUAUAAUAUACUAAAGAAAAUAAUUUAUGGUGGGUUAACCAUGAAUGUUACAUGAUUAUACAAGGUUCCACCAUUGAUUGUAGUAGUAUUUGCAUUCUAAUUCCGUAUACCUUCAUCAAAAGAUGGAUAUGAUAGGGUAUUCGUGCAUUUGACACAUAAUUUAAAUAUGUUAAUUUAUCUUCGAAAAACGGAAAAAUGGAAUGAAUUGAUCGCAAUAUUUUAUAAUAUUUUAUGAUUUUUGACUCCUAUGAGAUUCCCUUCAUUUUUAAUUUAAUUUUGCCUUUUUCCUAUACCUAUUGUUCACAUGUUCCUGCAAAUAUGAUUGGAAAACUAUGUCCCAUAAGUUCUCUUCUAUUAAAUCCUCUCUUUCUCCAAAACAACAAGAACAAAAAAUGUACACUCUCUUUAGUACAAUUAAUUUGAAAAAUGGGCUAAAGAUUGAAAAGUCACUGUGUGACUAAAAAGCUAGAGAACUGAAAGUUUAUGGCUAAUAAUUAAGCUAGCUGAUUGAAUUGAAGGUGUUUACUAAAAUUAGCUGAACAACUUAUUGAUUUUAGUGUAAAAAAUGAAGCAAAAUGACUUAUAAACUUAUGUCUUAUUAGGCCAUAAAUUACUCCAAUUGGUUUAUAAGUCAAAUCACUAAAUAGAGCUAAUGACUUAUUUUUAAUCAAAUAAUCUCAUUGUCUAAAUUAUUAACCCCGAAAUAGCCUUCUAAGUAUGAAAAGCCAGCAUAAACAGGAAAAGAAAACUAAAUUAAUCAAGAUAUUGGUUUAUUUUUGUAGUGUGCACGAACAUCCAUGUAUUAUAUUUGGGGUUUGCUAUGAAAAGUUAUAUUGGUUUGUAAAAUAUUUCUAUAUUUUAAUCAUAAUAGUUUCAUCAACAAAGUGUUUAUUAUUGACCAAAAUAUUAAUGAUUCGAUUCUUAUAAGCAAUAUUUAUUAGGAGAAUUGAAAAAUAUGCUGGGACCACAUUUGGUAUUCACUCCAAUGUGUUCAAAUAAACUUUUCCUUCUAUGAAUGUUCAUGCAUGUUACAUGCAUAUUACUAUGGUCAUAACAUGGAUGUAACUCAUUUUCUUUGCAACUAAGUAACCACCUUUACUAAUGGGCGUUGGUUCAAGUGCUUGAUUCGUAAGAACUCGGGUUCAAAUCUUGUUGAUGGAAAAAAUGUACGUUGGGAGAGUUAACCCCACGUACCUGUGGAUGUUCCCGGCUCGCACAGAAUUGCCUACGAGGAUACACGUGAGAAAAAAAAAAAAAAGUAACCACCUUUGAUUAUUAACACAAUCCAAUUUACCUAACGUGCAGAUUCAUGGAAAAGAGGCUUUCCUAUCUCAUGCUUAAAUAUUCAAAUCAGCCCUGAAAAGGAGAGGAAGAAGGUGCUUCUGGUCCAAUUGCUUAAAUUGUAUGGUCUUGUUCUGACAAUAA
rnacentral:lncRNA from 1 species